AAAGCGUUAGCUCAAAGGAAGAGCACCUGCAUUGCACGCAGGAGGUUGCAGGUUCGAUUCCUGUACGCUUUA
rnacentral:tRNA from 1 species